UACGUAGGAGGCAAGCGUUGUCCGGAAUCACUGGGUGUAAAGCGCGUGUAGGCGGCCUGCCAAGUCUGUCGUGAAAGGGCCCGGCUUAACCGGGUCAGGUCGAUGGAAACUGGUGGGCUGGAGGCCGGUAGAGGUGAGUGGAAUUCCCGGUGUAGUGGUGAAAUGCGUAGAGAUCGGGAGGAACACCAGUGGCGAAGGCGGCUCACUGGGCCGAGCCUGACGCUGAGACGCGAAGGCGUGGGGAGCGAACGGG
rnacentral:rRNA from 1 species